rnacentral:rRNA from 1 species
UAGGGAAUCUUCCGCAAUGGACGCAAGUCUGACGGAGCAACGCCGCGUGAGUGAAGAAGGAUUUCGGUUCGUAAAACUCUGUUGUUAGAGAAGAACAGCGCAUAGAGUAACUGUUAUGCGUGUGACGGUAUCUAACCAGAAAGCCACGGCUAACUACGUGCCAGCAGCCGCGGUAAUACGUAGGUGGCAAGCGUUGUCCGGAUUUAUUGGGCGUAAAGCGGGCGCAGGCGGUCAAUUAAGUCUGAUGUGAAAGCCCCCGGAUCAACCGGGGAGGGUCAGUGGAAACUGGGUGACUUGAGUGCAGAAGAGGAGGGUGGAAUUCCAUGUGUAGCGGUGAAAUGCGAAGAUAGAUGGAGGAACACCAGUGGCGAAGGCGACUCUCUGGUCUGUAACUGACGCUGAGGCUAGAAAGCGUGGGUAGCAAACAGG